rnacentral:rRNA from 1 species
GACGGAGGGGGCAAGCGUUGUCCGGAAUCACUGGGCGUAAAGCGCGUGUAGGUGGUCGGUUGCGUCGGCGCUGAAACCUCUGGGCUUAACCCAGAGACGCGUGCCGAUACGAGCCGACUUGAGGCAGGGAGAGGGUGGCGGAAUUCCGGGUGUAGUGGUGAAAUGCGCAGAUAUCAGGAGGAACACCGAUGGCGAAGGCAGGUCUCUGGGCAUUAACUGACGCUGAGGAGCGAAAGCAUGGGGAGCGAACAGG